rnacentral:lncRNA from 1 species
CUCAAUAGCAUGACAUGAUUGCAUACCUUCAUUGGAGAAAAUUUGAGGGGAGACACAGAAAGAUUUGCUCACUGGGAUGUUGAGCCCAGGAGUGAACCAAGUAUGUCAGGUUUGUGCAAAUCCUCCUUGUUGCAAUAUUAUGAUAUAGGACUAGCGGCAGAAUUACAAUUCUUUACAUAUUAACUGGGGCGACUACAUCUGUUGACACAUGACAUCUGCAGAUUUACCAAAAAGGAGUGAACAUCACCAAGAUACUGCUUCUCACUAGCUAUAGCAAUAUAGCUAGUGAUGGGCCAAGAUCCUUGGAAAACACAGU